UAGGGAAUUUUUCACAAUGAGCGAAAGCUUGAUGGAGCAAUGCCGCGUGAACGAUGAAGGUCUUUAAGAUUGUAAAGUUCUUUUAUUUGGGAAGAAUGACUUUAGCAGGUAAUGGCUAGAGUUUGACUGUACCAUUUUGAAUAAGUGACGACUAACUAUGUGCCAGCAGUCGCGGUAAUACAUAGGUCGCAAGCGUUAUCCGGAUUUAUUGGGCGUAAAGCAAGCGCAGGCGGAUUGAAAAGUCUGGUGUUAAAGGCAGCUGCUUAACAGUUGUAUGCAUUGGAAACUAUUAAUCUAGAGUGUGGUAGGGAGUUUUGGAAUUUCAUGUGGAGCGGUAAAAUGCGUAGAUAUAUGAAGGAACACCAGUGGCGAAGGCGAAAACUUAGGCCAUUACUGACGCUUAGGCUUGAAAGUGUGGGGAGCAAAUAGGAUUAGAUACCCUAGUAGUCCACACCGUAAACGAUAGAUACUAGCUGUCGGGGCGAUCCCCUCGGUAGUGAAGUUAACACAUUAAGUAUCUCGCCUGGGUAGUACAUUCGCAAGAAUG
rnacentral:rRNA from 1 species